AUUGAACGCUGGCGGCAGGCUUAACACAUGCAAGUCGAGCGGGGUGAUGGUGCUUGCACUAUCACUUAGCGGCGGACGGGUGAGUAAUGCUUAGGAAUCUGCCUGUUAGUGGGGGACAACAUCUCGAAAGGGAUGCUAAUACCGCAUACGUCCUACGGGAGAAAGCAGGGGAUCACUUGUGACCUUGCGCUAAUAGAUGAGCCUAAGUCGGAUUAGCUAGUUGGUGGGGUAAAGGCCUACCAAGGCGACGAUCUGUAGCGGGUCUGAGAGGAUGAUCCGCCACACUGGGACUGAGACACGGCCCAGACUCCUACGGGAGGUAGCAGUGGGGAAUAUUGGACAAUGGGGGGAACCCUGAUCCAGCCAUGCCGCGUGUGUGAAGAAGGCCUUAUGGUUGUAAAGCACUUUAAGCGAGGAGGAGGCUCUUUUGGUUAAUACCCAAGAUGAGUGGUCGUUACUCGCAGAAUAAGCACCGGCUAACUCUGUGCCAGCCGCCGCAGUAA
rnacentral:rRNA from 1 species